rnacentral:tRNA from 1 species
GGGCGGUUAGCUCAGCUGGCCAGAGCAUCUCGUUUACACCGAGAGGGACGGGAGUUCGAAUCUCUCACCGCCCACCA